UCAGGUGAUGAGGUAAUACUGC
rnacentral:siRNA from 1 species